rnacentral:snoRNA from 1 species
AAGAAUGUAUUUUCAAGGAUCAUUUCUAUAAUCUGCUGCUAGUGAAGUGUACUGAGUGUGUAAGCUACUGGUAACCUUGAAGAUGAGUGGUAGUGUUUUCUCCUGAGCACAGGUCGGCCUGUGGUGUUGCCUGGUGGCAGCUGCCACUUCUUCACCAUGACGACUUUUCCUUUCUUUUGGGGAAAUAGAGAGAGCACAGGCAGAGGAGU